CACAGGUUUGGUCCCAGCCUUCCUAUUGACCCUUAAUAGACUUACACAUGCAAGCAUCCACACCCCAGUGAAAAUGCCCUCCAAGUUAACUAAGACUAAGAGGAGCUGGUAUCAAGCACACAUCCGUAGCUCACGACACCUUGCAUAGCCACACCCCCACGGGAGACAGCAGUGAUAAAAAUUAAGCCAUAAACGAAAGUUUGACUAAGCCAUAUUGAUCAGGGUUGGUAAAUUUCGUGCCAGCCGCCGCGGUCAUACGAUUAACCCAAGUUAAUAGGCAUACGGCGUAAAGCGUGUUAAAGCACUAUACCAAAUAAAGUUAAAUUCCAAUUAAGCUGUAAAAAGCCAUAAUUGCAACAAAAAUAAACAACGAAAGUAACUUUACAGCCGCUGAAACACGAUAGCUAGGACCCAAACUGGGAUUAGAUACCCCACUAUGCCUAGCCUUAAACACAAAUAGUUAUGUAAACAAAACUAUUCGCCAGAGUACUACCGGCAAUAGCUUAAAACUCAAAGGACUUGGCGGUGCUUUAUACCCUUCUAGAGGAGCCUGUUCUAUAAUCGAUAAACCCCGAUAAACCUCACCAUUCCUUGCUACUACAGUCUAUAUACCGCCAUCUUCAGCAAACCCUAAAAAGGUACAAAAGUAAGCACAAUCAUAAUACAUAAAAACGUUAGGUCAAGGUGUAACCUAUGGAACGGAAAGAAAUGGGCUACAUUUUCUAAUCUAAGAAAAUCCAACACGAAAGUUAUUAUGAAACUAAUAACCAAAGGAGGAUUUAGCAGUAAACUAAGAAUAGAGUGCUUAGUUGAAUUAGGCCAUGAAGCACGCACACACCGCCCGUCACCCUCCUCAAGUAGGCACAAUACACUCAAACUUAUUUACACGUAUUAAUCAUAUGAGAGGAGACAAGUCGUAACAAGGUAAGCAUACUGGAAAGUGUGCUUGGAUAAAU
rnacentral:ncRNA from 1 species